UUAUUGUUUUUAUUCUACUGGACAGGAGAGGGAUGAUUCCUUUUUCUUAUGGUUUUUUUGAGCCUUAAAAGACUGAUAUCUGAAAAAAAAGGAUAUGGGCUAGUAAUAGCAAAACCUGAGUCAGAUUCAAGGGUACCCAGCUGACAUUACAAUGGAAUGAUGCUAAUGUUUAACUGCUGAGCAAUGUUUUCUGCAAAUGGGUCUUGAAGAUCAAUCUGUUUACAGUAACUCUUCUUCCUUUUUGAAAGUGAUUUUCAUUUUAAUGUCUAAUCCAAUUUUAAUUUUCUACUGAAUAAAGAACAAAAAACUUUGGCAUGA